AACGAACGCUGGCGGCAUGCCUAACACAUGCAAGUCGAACGAGACCUUCGGGUCUAGUGGCGCACGGGUGCGUAACGCGUGGGAACCUGCCCUUAGGUUCGGAAUAACUCCCCGAAAGGGGUGCUCAUACCGGAUAAUGUCUUCGGACCAAAGAUUUAUCGCCUUUGGAUGGGCCCGCGUUGGAUUAGCUAGUUGGUAGGGUAAAAGCCUACCAAGGCGACGAUCCAUAGCUGGUCUGAGAGGAUGAUCAGCCACACUGGGACUGAGACACGGCCCAGACUCCUACGGGAGGCAGCAGUGGGGAAUAUUGGACAAGGGGCGAAAGCCUGAUCCAGCAAUGCCGCGUGAGUGAUGAAGGCCUUAGGGUUGUAAAGCUCUUUUACCCGGGAUGAUAAUGACAGUACCGGGAGAAUAAGCUCCGGCUAACUCCGUG
rnacentral:rRNA from 1 species